GGGGAUGUAACGGGAAAAUAAUAUAGUUGAGAAUGACAGCCGGUUCAACAUGUGCGCGGAGUAGACAAACAUCCGGUGACCUACGCGAUCGGAACGAUUUGCUUAUUCGGAAAAACACAUUCGACAUGUUUAAUAAGGAGCCUUUGGUGUCCACCGGUGCGUCUGGGCUGAAGGUCCUCUCGGUGAGAUCCACCAAGCUGUGGUUCCUGUACCUGAUGGCCAGUUUGCGGGCUCUGAAGAGGAUGCAGGUCUUUCCGUUGUAAGAAACGCUCAGGGGAGAAUAGGGCAACAUUCCCGGAGACUGAAGCAACUUCCUGCGAGGAGGAGCGUGAAGCUGCCAC